rnacentral:rRNA from 1 species
AGGACGAACGCUGGCGGCGUGCUUAACACAUGCAAGUCGAGCGGAAAGGCCCUUCGGGGUACUCGAGCGGCGAACGGGUGAGUAACACGUGAGCAACCUGCCCCUGGCUCUGGGAUAGCCUCCGGAAACGGGGAUUAAUACCGGAUAUUCACUGUCUCCUGCAUGGGGGGUGUGGAAAGUUUUUCGGCUAGGGUGGGCUCGCGGCCUAUCAGCUUGUUGGGAGGUGACGGCCCACAGGCGACGACGGGUA